UCGGACACUUCUGAUGUUGAAGAUGGAUCAGAGGAGGUGCUAGAUGGUAGAGAAAAAAAUUAGAGAAGAACUCUCUUCUCACUAGUAUUUUUUCUCACCUGAAGACCCUAGAACAAUUCUAGGUCUCUCACUCGAAGAGGAGUUGGAUCUCCUCCAAUGCUCAUGCCAAAAUGAAUAGCGCCCACCCCAGAUCCUCACACCCCUA
rnacentral:lncRNA from 1 species